GAGACGAUGCAUUAUGUGCUGUCACUUCCAUGGGGCGGGGACACUUCUACUGAAGUGAAAGUCCCCUCUGUUGUUUCUUCCAAGUGAGAGUGAGCAGCACAGGGUCUAGAGCCAAGUGGCUAGGCUCCCAUACCAGCUCUGUUACUUACCAAUGCGGCAGCCUUGAAAGGAUUACCCAGAUUCCGGGCCUCGGUGCCUUCUCCUGUAGGAAGAGUGACAGCAGUGAUUAAAGGAGCUCCAGCAUCAUGAUGAAAGCCACUAGUAAAUCCUGGCCUUGACUGUUAAUGCUUCCCUUUCACUACUAGUAACAUGGUCUGAGAAGACGACUUGUAAGUGGACAUAUCAUACCGAAGCAUCCCGUCUCUUGGCAUGGUACCAUCAGAGGACUGUCAUCUACAAAGACCAUGCCCAAGAACUAUGCAAGUGCUGGGCAUGGUGCCCUGGAUCCCACUACUUGGGAGACAGAGGCAGGAGGAUUUCUUGUGAGUUCAGAGCCAAUCUGGUCUCCACAGUGAGUUCCAGGAAAGCCAUAAUUUUGGGGUUUUGUUUUUGUUCAUCUGAUUUUGGGCCCUGCCUCAAAAAAACUAAACAAGGAAAAUAAAACAAACUUCUGCAAUCAAGUUACAAAAAUGAACAUCACACAGAUACGUCAUGUUUGGACUGGAGAGAUCAUUCAGUGGUUAAGAGUGCUUACUGCUCUUGCAGAGGAUCCAGGUUCAGUUCCCAUCACCCACAUCAGGCAAUUUACAAGCAACUAUUACCCCAGUUCUAGGGGACCUGACACCCUUUUGGUCUCAACAGGUACCUGCACAUAUCUGAUACACAGAAACUCAUGAAGGCAUACUCCUUUAAUCUCAGUGCUCAAAAGGCAGAAGCAAGUGGAUCUCUGUGAGUUCAAGGACACCCAGGUCUACACAGUGAGUCCCAGACCAUCAAGAAUUAGAGUGAGACCCUGUCUCAGAAAGAAAAGCAAAUGAAAUAAGACUCCUUAAAUGUCACAUUUUAAGUUAAGUUUACAAUUUUGUAUUGGGCUACAUUCAAAACUACCCUUGCAGUAUGUAGCCCAUGGAUCAAGGUUAGACACACAUAGCUGUGGUGUUUCUCAAAUACUUCUCUCACUUAGUGCUGAAAAUAAUCUAGUCAUCAACAGGAGGAGGAGGUGGUGGGGAGAAGGGAGAUGGGGAGGGAAAGAGGGGGACAGGAGAGAAGAGAUGGGGAAGGAAAGGGAGGGAUAGGAGAAAUGGAGAUGCGGAAGGAGGAGCUGACUCUGAGAAGUAAUUUGCAGACAGUUGCAUAGAAAGGGCAAAGCUGAAAACAUCUGUAACUAAGGACCAUUUAGGCUGGACUCCAUAGACUCAGAAGAGUGUGGGGUGGGGCCAUGCUGUCCUCUGAGAUUCCAAGUUCUAGGAGAGAAGGUCCUAGAAUUCUGAGUGGCUACAGAAGCCCUGGUUCCAGAAAAAAAAAAAAAAUGUUCAGUUCAACUUGACUCAGAACUGAUCUCAGUCAUUCUGUCCCUGAACCAUUUCCUGUUUGGGGUUUCUGUUCUGCACAGAGAAGACGAAAACAUGCACAGUGCCCUCAGACUUCUCACUCUCGGAAAUGAAUCUCUUAGAUCAGAAGCUUAUAAAUCAAAGAGAGUUUUCAGAAAACCAGGGUUCAACAACAUCCCUCUUAACACGUGACCAGCAUUCAGCUUGAAAUGGAGGCAGAGGUGUCUAGACACACUCACUGCCAGAUAGAGCUGGGGACCGAACCCAGGGCCUCUACCGAACAAGCGCUCUACCACUGAGCUAAAUCCCUAACCCAGGAAGAAAAUCUCAAAGCCAUGGAUGUACAGGCGUCCAUCCAUUCGAGGGGUGUGCACUUAACACAGAGUUGCUGAGUUACCUGGAAGCAACAUCACAAUUAACUACUGCCUUUCAUUCUUCUCCUUGUAGCCUCUGGGAGUCUGAAUGGCUUCUAGCCUUUGGGUUUGAGAAGUCUAGAAAAGUCUGUCCUGAAUAAAAACAAAACAACAAACAAAAAACAGAAGCGAUUUCUGAGUCUGAAGGAGGUUUCACUAUAAACAGAACAUCUCCAUGUCUGGCUGCCCUGCUGGGUUGAAUUACUCCCGCCCUAUGUGCCAAGCAGAGGGGACCUUCCUACAAGUCGUCUGAGCUAGGCAUCACUUCCCUUCCCUGUGCCUCCUCUCCCACAAAAUCGUCACUCCAUGUCUUAAAUUAACAAGACUCAAAAACCCCACCCAAACAUUAGGGGUCGUAUAAAAUGAUGUCACAAUCUCUCUGGAAGAAGGGAGUGGCCAACAGUGACUUCUGAGGAUGAGGUGAGGUCAUGGAUGGCUACAGGGGUCUGGUGCCCAGGGAAGUUUACACAUUGGUUACAGUACCACACAGUGAAUAGGCUCAAAUGAGAACACCCACAGAUAGGAUGACAGUGGCAGCCUGAACACUCGUCCUCAAAGCCAGUGAAGAGAACAGCUGUAGACAGUGGUAGCUUUUAAAGGUUGUCUCAGCUCCUGUCAAACACUUCACCCCUAAUCUUAUUGCCAUUUUCUAUUAGCCCCUAGUACCCAUCCUGACACUUUUAAUUAGAUCAAAAGUGCCCUCAGGGCAGACAUCUUGUUCGGGUAGUCACGGAAGUACUAAUCUUAAUUUUGAUAAUAUCAGUAUGUUAUAUAGCUAGACAUGUUCUAACUCACAUUUCAUUUUCUAUUCUGACCAGCUAAGCACUAAAUUGCUAGUAUGGCCUGCCUGAGGAGAAGCUCACACAAGGGAUUCAAAUUUGUCUUGGCUGCUUUGAAGUUUUGGAUAGAAAAGCUGCAAUCGAAGGCUAGGGAGAUGGCUCAGCCAGAAAAGGGCUUGCCAUGGAAGCAUGAGGAUUUGAGUUCAGUCUCCACACUCACAUUAAAAGCUGAGCAUAGAAAUGUGUACCUCCAGCUGGGGUGGAUGGGAGAGAGGUGGACCUCAGAGGAAUGCUGGCCAGACUGGCUCCAAGUUCAAUGAAAGACGCUGUCUCAAAAGAUAAGGUAGAGAGCUAUUGAAGAAGACACUUCAUAUGACUUUCUAUUCUUGCGCACACAUGCCCACAAAUGAACACACACACACACACACACACACACACACACACACACACACACAAUCUGAGGUCUCCUCGCAUUUGAUAUCCUCUGACUCUGUAAUUUGAGGACAUUUAGACAAGAGCCUCAUUUGUAAGGCUAAAGAAAAAAAAAAGGCCCCAGCAUACAUCUCUCAGAUGGUGGAGGACACUAGAAAGACCUUGUUCAAACACAAAACACAGCAACAGGAUUCCUAAAUGAUCUUUUCCCCUUUCUUCCAAGCACUUAGAGAGUGCAGUCUUGCAUUCAUACUUUUCCCUGAGUCAGGCAUGGUGGUACAUGGCCUCCUCUCAUGUAGGAGGUAGAAGUUAAGGCAGGAAGAGCUCUGUGAGUUUGAGGCCAACUUGAUCUACAUAAGCAAGAUCCAGGCCAGCUAGGACUACACAGUGAGACCCUGUUUCAAAACAAAAUAAAAUAAAUACAUUUCCCAUAAUUUCAAGAUCACAGGCAUAUACAAGUGUUUCUAACGAGGCUUCAGCACAGUAACCAAUCUGCCUUUAACCCUGAAAGACCAGUGGUCCUAAGAAGAGGACAGCAACUAAACUGCAGAUACUUAACACAUUGGCAAAUGUUAAAAAUAUGCAUUUGGGAGCCUUAACUCAACAAUCUGUUUAACCUAAUAAUGUCAAUAGUAACUGUACUUCAAUGAGGUUUUGUUUGUGGUACUGGGAAUUGACUCCAGGGACCAUGCAUGCUAUCCAAGUGUUCUACCAACAUCCCUCAGAUCUUAUACAAGGUCUUAUUUUAAAAAAAAAAAAAAAACCAAACCAAUUCAACCUUCCUUGGUUUAAUGAACACUCUAGGGUGCGGAGGAGGCAGUUAAAGAUGGCAGUGUAUUAGUACACACUGAACAGACACGGAGAAUCCCAGAACCAUCCCAGUCC